AGAGCAUCCAUUUCAUCUCAUUGCUAAAACUGUCAAGUACAGAACAAGAAUCUGAGAUUCAGGUGCUUGUUAUGAGCAAUGGCGAUUUCCACAAAUUCCUAAUCGCACAGAAACAUUGUUUACCGAAUAAAAUUUCCUUUUUUCUCUGAGUGGUGCGUUUGUUUUUUGGGGAGGGGGGUUGAAACUAAAGGAAGUAGCAGCCACAGCUCAACCUUCCAUGCUGAGAUGCAGCAGCAUGCUUUGCACGAAUACGACAAGUACCCUCCUCCCACGCUACGCGCGCUACCAUCCGUACAGAUCACACUGAAUAUUUGUUCUUUGCAUGUCUG
rnacentral:misc_RNA from 1 species